rnacentral:rRNA from 1 species
GAUGAACGCUGGCGGCGUGCUUAACACAUGCAAGUCGAGCGAGUGAGUUCUUCGGAACAAUCUAGCGGCGGACGGGUGAGUAACACGUGGGCAACCUGCCUCAUAGAGGGGAAUAGCCUCCCGAAAGGGAGAUUAAUACCGCAUAAAAUUAUCGAGUGGCAUCACAUGAUAAUCAAAGGAGUAAUCCGCUAUGAGAUGGGCCCGCGGCGCAUUAGCUAGUUGGUGAGGUAACGGCUCACCAAGGCGACGAUGCAUAGCCGACCUGAGAGGGUGGUCGGACACAUUGGGACUGAGAAACGGCCCAGACUCCUACGGGAGGCAGCAGUGGGGAAUAUUGCACAAUGGGGGAAACCCUGAUGCAGCAACGCCGCGUGAGUGAUGAAGGUCUUCGGAUUGUAAAGCUCUGUCUUUGGGGACGAUAAUGACGGUACCCAAGGAGGAAGCCACGGCUAACUACGUGCCAGCAGCCGCAGUAA